ensembl:misc_RNA Gm25372 predicted gene, 25372
GUGUGUGAAGGGAAUCUGUGAUAUCUGUUACCACAGUGAUUGGGAGAGCUGGCUGACUAGGUGGGUGUCCACUCCUCCAUGGCUACUCCAUGUGCCUCUCCUAAAGAUGCAUGGUCAGCUGAGGAGAACGACCAUUCUUCUAUCAUGGGCUUAGUUGCACUCCCCUGCUAGAAGCUCCAAACAAGUUUUCAAAGUAAGCAAUUUAAGAGUUAGUUCAGCAAGACACUGUAGGUAGAACACUUGCCACUGCCAUAC